rnacentral:rRNA from 1 species
UCGCUCCUACCGAUUGAAUGAUCCGGUGAAAUCAGUGGACCUUGAUGCGGUUUGAGAAAUCGGACUGCGUUGCUGGGAAAUUGAUUAAACCUUAUCAUUUAGAGGAAGGAG